UACGUAGGGGGCUAGCGUUGUCCGGAUUUAUUGGGCGUAAAGAGCGCGUAGGCGGCCGAGUAAGUCCGACGUGAAAUCUGGAGGCUCAACCUCCAGCGGUCGUUGGAAACUACUCGGCUAGAGACCGGAAGAGGAGAGUGGAAUUCCUGGUGUAGCGGUGAAAUGCGUAGAUAUCUGGAGGAACACCGGUGGCGAAGGCGGCAUCCUGGACCGAGAUUGACGCUGAUGCGCGAAAGCCAGGGGAGCAAACGGG
rnacentral:rRNA from 1 species